rnacentral:rRNA from 1 species
CCUACGGGAGGCAGCAGUAGGGAAUCUUCCACAAUGGGCGAAAGUCUGAUCCAGCAACGUAGCGUGGAUGAAGAAGGCCUUCGGAUCUUAAAACUUCGUUGAUAUAGAAGUAAGUGCGUGAGAGUAACUGUUCACGUUUCGACGGUAUCUAUACAGAACGCCACGGCUAACUACGGGCCAGCAGCCGCGGUAAUACGUAGGAGGCAAGCGUUAUCCGGAUUUAUUGGGCGUAAAGGGAACGCAGGUGGUCUUUUAAGUUUGCUGUGAAAGGUUUCGGCUUAACCGGAAUAGUUCAUUGGAAACUGGGAGACGUGAGUGCAGUAGAGGAGGGUGGAACUCGAGGUGUAGCGGUGAAAUGCGUAGAUAUAUGGAAGAACACCAGUGGCGAAGGCGGCUCUCUGGACUGUAACUGACACUGAGGUUCGAAAGCGUGGGUAGCAAACAGGAUUAGAUACCCUGGUAGUC